UUAACCUUUGAAAACAAACUUAGAAUCAAAUUACCUUGAGACAAAAAACAUAGCUUGGAGCUACACUGCCAUAUAACACAGUUUGGAACUGCAUCAUAUGCUCAGUGUAGACCCAUAUACUGCAGUUCAAUGCAGUUGAAGCACAUUAUAUGAGUCUACACUGCCAUAUAAUGUAGCGUAGAUCCACCAUUACCUACCCAUGGAGAUUAGGGCUUACAUACAAAUAUACAAAUGAGGCAAUAUAUGAAGAAGCUUUAAUUCAAGGCACUUCUCUCCAGUUAACAAUUACACAAUUGCGUUUCUUUGGUCUGCUGGUUUGAACACUAGCUCUUGUAGGCAGAAAAUGAAUUUUAGUGCCAUCUACAGUAACAUUUUUGAAACACAGACAAACUAUUAAGCCUGUUUUCUUUAUGGGGAAACCUGGUAUAGCUUUAUACAUCCCUAGAUGUAUGAUAUUGCUAUAGGAUUGAGAGUCAGACUCUGUUAGGCAUGACCACCUGCGUAUAAGGGAACUUCGGAGACGUAAAAUUAUGCUGUUUCGGGCCUAUUUCUAUGACCACAGAGGCCCAGGCAAACAGAGCCGUUUUUGCAGCUUUAGUCAACAGUGAAAUCUACAGCCAAGUGCAAAAGUUUGGGGAAAAUAAAAGUCCAUCAUCUAAGUUGCUAGCAAACCUAUGUUCAAAGUUUUGCUUGCACACCAACUGAAACUUUAACUCCUGGGAUUUUGUUUUAACUCUCGACACCCUUAGGAUUUUGGGACUCCAAGUGUUUUGGACUUCAGCUCCCACAGGUCCUAACAACUGGUAAGAUGGCUGGAGUUGAAGACCAAAACACCUGGAAGCCCAAAGGUUGGGAACCACUGGCGUAGAAAAACCUAUUUGGCUUUAAACAACAUCUAGUGCAACAGUAUUAUCCAUAUUUACACUUAAUGCAGUUUAAAAUCACUUUAACUGCCAUGACUUAAUGCUAUGAAAUACUGGGAGUUGUAGUGAGGGGGACGUGGGUUUAAAAAGAGAAUUUUCAACCCGGGUGAGUAAAAGAAAAAUUGUGUAUUAUGGUCUGGGGGUACAAUCCAGACCUGCAAACAGCACCACAUUCUAACCUGUCUUCCAUAAGAAGUUGAUCCCUAAUGUGAAGCAAAACAUUUGCAUACACCUGCAAACAGCCCGCUUUCCAAACACUACACCACAGACAACUGAUCAUGUAGAUCCCAGACAAUUUGUUUUAAGAAGGGGAGGAUUUUAUACCCUUUGCCCCUUUGUGCAGCACUUGGCUCAGUCCAAACCUUACUGAACACAACAAUCAUGACGACCAUGCCCCAUGUCCAAUUGAGACAAUACCCUAGAUGUGGCUUCACUGCAUUCCUGUCAGACUUACAGGACACAGACAUAUGCAGCCAAGCAGAACUUGACAUGUGCAGACAACUCCACAUUACAUUGAUACAUAAAGUCGUUGGCAGAAUUGGGCCAGGACAGUACGGGAUUUGUGGGAGUUGGGCAGGAAAGACACUGCCCCCACUCUAGAGUGGCACAUGUACAUUUGGAACUUUAAUUCUUGCAGGAUGGAAAUCCUUUGACAUGCAACAGCCCCCUGGGCAUGAGACAAAUCUGGAUGGGCCAGAGUUAAAAGGGCAUACAGUGACACAUACAAUCCUGUCUAGCUCUGAACAUUAGACAGAAUCCAACGCAUUUCAGCAAAAGCUAGAGAAACUGGCAAACUACAUGAUAAGAGGUUUGCCAUCCCUCCAAAUGGGAGCACUCUAUCACCAACACCCAGAUGCAGCACAGAUUGGAAAUUGGACAAAACACAACUUGUUGUCAUUCAGGACAAAUAAAAAGGGAUGUAUCCAAAAUACACCAGAUAGUAAACACAACCAGAUCCAAAUACACACAGAACUCAGAUUGGUAGAGUUCUCUCUCCUCUUGACUUCCUGACCUACAGUGAGUGAAGGCUCUGAUCGUGUUUGGGAUUGCAAUUGUCAUAAUAAUAUUCUUGUGUUGCUUCACUUUGAUAAUAUAUGCUUACAGAGUUACACUAUCCCUUGCAGUGGCCCUAUUAAAGAAAAAAAAUACAACUCUUGGAUGUUGUUUCCUAGUGAGAUCACAGGAACUACACCAGAGAAUCCAGAGUUGGUAGACAUCCAGAGUGGAUGCGGAUGAUUGGCCACAGAACGGGGGUCACUGUAUGGCGACAGAUAGAUUGUUUCUUUGCUCUGUGUGUGCACAAUCUUGAUUUUCGAAGGCUUUCGGGAAAAAAAGAGGAGGGAAUGAGGGGGACGUGGGUUUAAAAAGAGAAUUUUCAAAGAUACUUCUAAUGACUAUAUGUUAUGGUUGAGCCUUAUGGCUCCAAUACUGGGAGACGUGGUCGUAAGACUCCUCGAGAGUCAGACUCUCUUGAGGAGCGAGAGAGGAAACGGCUGCGGGACAUCUUUGCAGAACCAUCUGACGAAGACUCCUUUGAGGGUUUUACUGAGAGAAUGGAGGAAGAGGUGGUUAGCUCAGAGGAGGAUGACAUGGAAUGGACUCGUGUGAGGGAGGAUUUGGGUGUUCCUGGUAAUGAUAGCAUGGGAAGCGACUGGCGGGUUGCAGGAUCGGACCCGUGGACGAGUUGGAGGGAUGGGACGGGAUCCACAGCUGGGGAUGCUGUGGGGCGUAGUCAAAGAUGUUUUAGCUCUGAUGAGGAUGAUGAUGAUGAGGCACCUGGAAUUAGGGUAACACCUGAUAGCGAUGAGGAGUUGUAACUGGCAUAAAAUGGGGUCUUGAACCCAGGGCUAAUUGCGUUGGGCAAGGUAAUCUGGACGAACGCUUGGGCUCUUGUUGGGAAAUUCCUGAAGACGGGUGUGUUUCGUUUGCUGACUACCUUGGACCUCCGUCGUCUUCUUGACGGACAUUAUUUACCUACUCGGAAUUGACGCUGGACUGGCUGACUGACUGACUGACUACGACCUUGGACUACCCUCUCUUUGGUUAUCGGAGGAUUUCGUGGAACCUAAGACGCCUGCACCUGGCUAUCGACCUCGGACCGGAUUGGGACCCCGCUGACCGCUACAACCCUGAUUGAUGUGUUUGGACCCGGAGUUCGCCCGCUGCACGGAGGAGUAACAACUUAGUUGCUCAACCACAGCUGUUGAGUAGCAGAGAGGAAUCUGCUGCCAGUAUUUAUGUUCUAUUGAAUCUUUGUUUACCAGCUUUUGUUUGUUUAAAGUCCCAGGCUGAAGUAAGCAUUUUUGGUUUAACCCGGAUUAAACUCCUGUUUAAUCCGGUUUAGCUUUUGAACCGUUUUUGAGUGACUUUUCAUAUUGAAGGCGAGUGUUUGCCUAGCUCUUUGUUUUUUACGAGCAUUUUUGGUUCUGUAUCUUUAAUAAACUGUGUUGAAUCUUA